ACAAUUUUGCAUUUCAGCAAAAACGUAGCUCAACUGUAGUGAAUGCUAAUAGCUAAUGGCUAGCCGUACUAGUUUAGAUGGUAUUGCUCAUCCAGAGGGUGAUGACGAGGUUUAUAUUAAGAAAAACAAAUAAAAGUGUCCAAGUGUUUAUUAAUAGUGUCACAACUUAAUAUUUUCCCUUCAUCAAGCAGUUUUAAUUAUGAUUAUUACAGAUAAAAUAACGUAGUCAGGUUGUGUUUGUACUAAAAACCACUGAAGGAAACAAAAACCGAAAAACGAAACCGAGCACAACUUCAUGAAAUAUGAACAAAAACGGAGUAGCGUCAGAUUUCAGCAGUUGUAGGAUUUCUCUUGUUGAGUCAUUUCUCCUGCUAGCACUAGGCUAGCGCAUUUGUUUUGGUUAGAUUUACCCAGAAUGCCAUGCAUUGUAGUUCACUUUCUCCUCUGGUCCGCUUCACAUGUGCAUUCGAAUGGCACCAGAGUUCACUUCAGCCGACCCGGGGUUUGUAGGCGGACCAGAGUUCGCUUUUUUGGUUCGCAUUCACACUUCCCAACCGAACCGGACUUUAUAGAGAAACGGAUUGGAGUCCAACUCCAGCGGACCGGGAGUCGGACUCCAGCUGGUGUUAAUGAACCCUUAACCACCACGGAUGCUUCAGCUGUUAACCAAAGGAAACUUUGCUUCUGCAAAUUGAGUUAUAAAAGAAAAAUGUUUCAUUUUUCCAGAAUUUAAAAAAAGAAAAGAAAACAGCUUCAAUAAAACAGAACCAGCUGCAGUUCUGCUCACUGAAGUUCUUCUGCAACUUGUUUCAACAUCAGAACCCCAAACCCACAUUCAGCAUCUGGCUCUUUUCUGCAGCUCUGCUGGCAGAAAUCCUCCCACAUUCAUCACAGCGGCCAGUCGGCCAUUAAAACCACCUCAUCCUGGUGUGGGAGGGAGUUUCCCCGUGACUCACUGUCCAGCACCGGGCGGAAAGCGGACCGGGUUCUCCCCGACGCUCCCCAAUGUCUCUGCAGCUCUGUGAGGAAGAGGAAGGCUGAGGAAGAAUGGGGCUUCUGCAAACAAACGCAGGGGCCCUGAAACAGAACCAGGAAAUGAACCGUGCUGAAGGCCAACAGCUGAGAGGCGGCCAGAAAUGUGCCUGCUCUAAUUUUAUCAUGAAAUACUAAGUCAGAAAAAGCUGAAAACAUGUUUUUUAAAAUGCGGCCUUGUAAACAUCCACAGGUUUUUAAGAGCUGAACUAUAAAACGAGGAACGUUGCUAAAUGAAAAGGCUUGUAGAUCAUAAACAAGCCUCCCUAAAACAAAUAUCUAAGAAAAAACUAUAUUAAACAAAAAUACAACAGAAUCCGUUUAUAAUUACUUUGCACUAAUUUCUAGAGUUUGAAUUUGACCUCAGUGACUUUAUGAAACAUCCAGAGAUCCAACCUUUUAUUUAACUUUAGCCAAAUCAUAACGUUUUAGAAAUAAAUAAGCAUUAAGAUUUGAGGAUAUUAUGAUUUAUUAAUGCUGCUUCAGUCCAGCCCGUCUCGUUUAUGGGUUUGAGUCGACGUGUUUUCAGACCCAUGUUUUUGUGUUUAGUGGGUCCCACUCCUCCCUGCCUGCCGAUUGGCUGGAUCCCUCAGCCAAUCAGAAGUCGUCGUGGUUUAUAGUAAAUGGGCGUAAAGCUGCUGGAACGAAGGGGGAUUUUCCCUGGACUUUUGAUUAGUUUUUGGCUCCUAUGUGAACAUUUAACAACUUUUUCCACUUAUUGUGUUUAAUUGUGGGAGAAAGUUUUUCUGUAUUUUUAAGUUAUACUAGCGGCUAAACAGCUGUUGUUAUCCAGUGGUGAUGUGAAAAAAUGAGACCAUAAAAAGUCAUUUAAAAUGAUUUCCUCUCCUUUUCUGUAAAAACAAACAUGAAAACAAAAAGGAAAAGAUUUUUAAAGCAACUUGUGAUUCAAAUAUAAUCUUCAGUGAGUUUUCACCUGAAUGGAAAGUAACUAGUUACAUUUACUCCAUUUACUGCAAGUACCAUUAAUCUGCAUGUUAUAUUCAAGUUGUUUACAAAUGUUCAGAUUGAACAUUUGUAAAUUAUUUAGAGGAAAGCAUGUUACUCAGUUAAAUUGCAUGCAUAAAGGAGAAAAAACAACAUGUAUGCAUGAAAGACAGGAUAAAAAUGAAACUGUAAGUUUAUGUCUCAUUAAAAUUAUAUAAAAUGUCUCCCAAAUAUUCAUGAUGUCAUUUUCUAACAUAUUUUAUUUUUUGAUGCAUUUUUGUUCAUAAAAGUUGUUCAUUAAUUAAAAGAAAAAGUUUAACGUUAUCAAGGUAACCGUUUACUUGAGUACUUCAAGUUUUCACCUGUGUAUAAAUCAGUAUUCAAUCAAUAUUAUGAUGCCAAUCAAUUUUAGCUGCAUAUUUUGCAUGAAUGCAUUUAUAAAUGUUGCAUCUUUUCAUCUACUUUCAGGAUAAGCCAGAUUAGAAAGUUUAAUUUGUAAAUUUGCUGUAAAAAGUUUUCUAUUGCUUUUUCUGGUGUUGAGCAGUUUCAUGCCAUUAGUGGCGACUCCUACUGUUUGGAAAGAGAACUGCAACUAUCGGAACAGAAGCAACAUUUAAAGUAUUUUAAGCUCAUCAGUCCAGUUUGGUUUAUUUGAUCCUGAUCAGAUCGAUUUGCUAUUCCUGAAGAAAUGUCUCAGGAGAACAGAAGCAUGUGGGUUAAAGGAUUUUUAGCAAUAAUUAUUCUCUCUUUCCAAACAUCACUGAAUUUAAAUCACCCCUUAAAUUUAUUGAAUAUUAUCAGAUGAAUAGCCUGAACGGGUCGGGUUUUGAGACUAACUGGUAUUUGCUGCUCCUGUAUGUUUAAACGGAUCGACAGAAGCAGAGAUUACCAGCAGCUGCAGCAAAAUUAAACUGGUUUUUGUGAAGUAAAUUCAUAAGAUCAGGUUCUGGUCGGCCGGAGUGAGGACACUUCAUCCAGCCCGGCUGCAUCACUCCGAGUCUGAACAGAAACGGAUUCGGAUCCCUGCUCUAAAACAAACGCUGAAGGCUGGCAGCUGGCCGCUUUCUGUCUCCUCUGAGACAAAGAGCACAAAGACAGGGAUUGUGUGGGAUUGGGGUAAAUAGUUGUAGCCACUGGCCACCCGUUCGGCGCCUCAUGUUGGAGAACGCGGCUCUGCGUUGGCAGGCGGACCGGGACAGAUGCCGACCGGGUCCGACUCGUCGGAGAGGCCGCAGCGCGUGACUGAAACAAACUCCAAAUGAAGGAACGACUCGUCCUUGAUCUGGAAUGGGCCACACCCAGAUUAACGCCUGGCAGUGUUCACAUAAAAAGUGCAUGAAUCGGUUCCUUCUCCUCCCUGCCGGAUCGUCUGACUCACUUUGACUCAGACAAUUGUUGAAUUUUAGAAAUUCUUCACAAAAAAAUCAGACUGAAAGUGUUGCAGAUAAGGAAGGCAAAGAUAAGAACCUGUUAAUGUUCGCUGGAGAGACUCCAGAGUUAAAGCAUUAAAACGACUAACUUUAUCCAACGAUCACGAAGCCGAACGUGUUCUGUUGGGAUUUUAACUGACAGUAGUAAAUAGCUGCAAAAUGAAAUGAAAAGUACAAACCGAAACAAGAAAAACCUGAAGUUGACUGACAUUUACUCUGCCGAAGUCGACGUUCUGCAGAAAGAGCUGCAGGUUUAAGGCUCCAGGAAGCUUUAAAAGAUAAAACGUUUUGGUGGUUUGAUGUUCAAAGUAACUGCACUGCAAAAACACGAAACGUUACCAAGUACAAAUAUCUUACUACACUCAAAGACAAAACUUAUAACUGUCCAGCAAGAUAAUGGAGCUCUUUAUAAAUCAAGAAUGGUUUAAUAUUGAUGAAAAAAUAUUCAUUAGCAGAUGUUUUCACUAAUAAGACAUUUUUCCCCAGUUAUAAGUGAAACAAAGGUGAGAUCAAGAAACUGCAAAAGCACGCCACACUUUUAAGAUUUAAUUUCUUUAAAAGGCACAACUUGUAUUUUUCUGUGCUAAUCUGUUACAUGAGGGGUGCUCAACGUGUGGCCCGAGGGCCAUUUUUGGCCCUUGAAACGAUUCUGAUCAGCACCACGACCACAAGUCAAGAACGGUAAAACGUUUGGCAAAACAGAAACGGAAGAUCUCAAAAAAAUUGGAAAUUGGACUGUUUCUGUGUUAAAUGGAAAAGCAGACAAAGUCUCUCCUGUUUUGGAUCUUUAACGUCAGAUCUUAGAUUUCAUAAAAACUACAGAGUAGGUAAAACUGAAAAGAGAAAAAUCAUGUUAAACUUAUUUUUUGUGUUUAAUACAUUCUGUGGCCCGCAAGUAGAUUAAAUAUGCCAUUUUUGGCCAAAAAAAAAAGAAGUUAGACCCCAUGAUAGUGGAUUUUAUGCACUAUGAUGCAUAAAAUCCAAACCCGUUAGGCUCUGCAGGUGUGCACUACGCUGUAAAUACUUUUCUGAGGUAAUAUUUGUCUUUCAUUUUGAGCGUUCUGCUCAAACCUGAAAAACUUCUGCAGUUAAUGAAAGAAAAUCUUUGAAGCUGCCAGAUUUUUAAUAACUGGUUCGGCUGCAUCGUUUGGAAACUUUCUGUUUAAGUUAGCCGGUUAAAUCUCUGGCUGGAUCUGAAAACACUCAUUUUAAAUCCCAAAAACCUGAUUCAGGCUCCACACAUUGUUGUUUUCAGGCUCCAAUCAAAGAUGGCUGCAGUUUUUCCACAAGCACAGUAAAAAGAAAAAAAAAGGCAGAGACGAGGGAAUGAUAAUAAAUCCCAUGUGUCGCUUAUGAAACUUCAGAUUUCACGAUGUUUAGCUGCAACUGCUUUGUAAAUGUGGAAACGGGAGAAUCUGGUGCUGGGGAGCAAUCAAGCUGCGGUUGAGAGAGAAGGCUGGCAGCCGGGCGUUCACACGCAAACGCUGCAGCGCACUGGCAUCGCACACCGACACGCAGGAGGCCCUGGAGGCGGCGGAGAGCCCGGCGCUGACGAGUCCGGCCCGCAGAUCAACAGGAUGCAGCAGUAAAACUCCAGGAUCAUUCGCACGGCGUCAGCUGCUGCAGCUGAAUAAAGCAACGUUUCAUUCUUUAACAAGCUGCUGCUGACGGAUGGAUCUGCUGCUGUCGUCGAGUUUUCAGACUCUACAAACAGCUGAAGGCCAAAAUGUUCAGCGUCAAAUCCAGAGCAGAUUUCCAUCAACUCUGAACUGAAACGCUGCUAAUGGUGCCCGGCAGGACGAGGGGGCCCAGGCCCCCGUUUAAACUUCCACCGGCCCUUUGAUGUAAAGACAAACACAUCUUCCUUUUCUCCAUUUUAGGAAAGAAUCUAAAACGUUUUAUCUGAGUUACUCCAUAAAUCCUCCUGAAGGCCCUGAAAGGCUCAGAUGUUUAAAGUUUUACCUCUGCAAUGCGCCUUCGAUUCCCCUGAGGUUAAAUAUAGAAACUAAAUAUAGUCUGAUGAUGACCCGGCUUCCUCUACAGAACGGUCAGUUUAUUAUUAGAUAUGAACCCAUUUGUUUCUCACAGCGUCUGUGUUGCUCGGGUGUCGCCUUUACCCUACACCAAACAAAAAUAUGAGACCUGUUGCACAAAGUCGAGGGAAUUUCCAGUUAUUUAUAGAAUAUCUGAAUGGCCUGUAGUGGAACAAAACACAGUAAUGAUUCACUAUAAACUGUACAGACUUAAUGCUCAGCUACGGUCUGGACUGAGUGGUGAAACAUUCCCAGCACAGGCAGCAGGGAUGUGCUGCAUGAUGAAUCUACUUCCUGCAUGAUUAUGACUGUUACCACAGCAACAUACGAACCAUCUUUGCCUCGUUAACAACCUUCAGUCUGCAGAGAAACGUGUCUGACCACGUUAGAGCUUUUUUAAUCCAGAUCCAAAGACGGUUUCCCAAAAGAAAAUAAAAGCCUUAGCAGAAGCUCGUCCUGCCUGGAGCCACGCCCUGAACCUCAACAGGUGGGGCGGCGCUGCGCUUUGUGUCUGGGCAGGAAAAAGGUUCGUCUGUUUACCUGAAGAUCACCAUCAGACAGAACCCGUCUGUCUGUCAGAACCGCAGUUCAGAUGUUCUAUAGCAGAGAGACAAUGGGUGAACAAGUCCACACUCGUUUGGGGGAAAACAGUUAAGAAAUGCGCUGCAGUCGCAUAGAAAAGUGUAACUUCCUCUUUACGUUUUCCCAUUUGGAUGAACGAGAAAAAGACGAACCGACCGGACCUGCGAUGCUUUCAGAUGACUUUAAAGAGGCAGCGUUCAUGUAAAUGGACUUUUUUAGCUUUACGUCAUGUUAUGUUAUUCCCUUCGAGAUGCAGUUCAAGUUUCUGCGACUCCCCCACUCAGCUCCUACAGACUAGCCAGCACCAAUUGGCAAACUGUUGCCUUCAGUUGUUAUAAAAAUGUUAUAUACAGUAUAUCAAAUAUAUUGGGCCCCUGUCUUUAAAAACUGGAAGGUUUCCAUGGAGACUAAAGGAUUUCUCAAACAUGUUUGAAAGAAUCAAGGCAACACUUCAGGUUUGUUUAUCAUAAGAGAAUAAUACAACAUGACAGACUUUACCAGUCUAUCAGCAUCAAUUAAUGAGAAGACAGGACAACUUCAAGCAUUCAGCAAAUUGAGGUGAGGAAACUUUCUCCAGAGCAGACAGAGAGUCUGAUGAGAUCAAUAAUGUAAAUUCUUCAUACUAAUGCGAUAAAUAAUUUAACAACCAGCAUCAGAUGCGCUGAGAGGUGAUGCCUGAGGUUCAUUUAAGUGACUCCUUGAAGACAGAAACACAAUAAUCAUAAAUAAUAAUAUAUUCAGAACAUUUGAUCACUUUUUCAGCCAUAAAAUAGCAAACAGCUCGGGGCUAAAUGUUUCAGAGGUUUUCUGAGACGUUUCUCAGCCGAACCCAGCAGAAGGAGCUGCAGCCUCCACCCUCUACCUGCUUCUGCAUAUUUCACUUUCCAACCGUUUUUAAAUCCUUUAUGAAAGCAGCCGGAGCUGCAGGGGAAUGUCUGGCAGUCCGAGCAGACAGCUUGAGGUUCUCCCUGCGGGAAGGCGACAUGUGCUACAGUUAGCCAAACAAAGCUGUGUGUGUGAGCGCAGCCUUCAGGCUGAACAGGUGUGUCCCUUCAGCUGGACCGGACUCAGCGCUUCACCUGUUGCGUCGCAUUCAGAGGGAAAUGAGGACAGAAGCGAGCAGGAAGCCCAUCCAGUCACUUCCCAUCACACGAGACCACUCGGCCCAUUCCACAGGCCUCAAAAAAAACCUCUGAGUCACCGCCGCGUCACGGCGCCAUGGCAACCAAACAAAAAAACAGGCUGGCUAAAAGCAGCAGAGGAGAGAGGCGUUUCACCACACAGGCGUCAGAAGAUCGGCUUCCUCUGAAAAACAGCAUCAGAAUCACAACAGAGGCUGAACGUUGCUCUCUCAACACUGAGACUAGUCAGUCAGCAGCAGCCAAUACGACGUCUUAUCAGGCAAAAAGAAGAGUACGUUUCCACCAAAGACCUCAGAAAUUUAACGAUUUAUCUCAGAAAUAAAACAAAACAAAAAAAACAUGGAAAUUCUGGAGAAAAAAGCCCAGAAAUUUGAAGAUUAAUACAAUUUUUAAAAAAAAUAAAUAAAUAACGUGCACGUUUGACAAUUUGCACUCAAAAAUUUCAGGGAAA